CCUACGGGAGGCAGCAGUGGGGAAUCUUGCGCAAUGGGCGAAAGCCUGACGCAGCCAUGCCGCGUGAAUGAUGAAGGUCUUAGGAUUGUAAAAUUCUUUCACCGGGGACGAUAAUGACGGUACCCGGAGAAGAAGCCCCGGCUAACUUCGUGCCAGCAGCCGCGGUAAUACGAAGGGGGCUAGCGUUGCUCGGAAUUACUGGGCGUAAAGGGAGCGUAGGCGGAUAGUUUAGUCAGAGGUGAAAGCCCAGGGCUCAACCUUGGAAUUGCCUUUGAUACUGGCUAUCUUGAGUAUGGGAGAGGUAUGCGGAACUCCGAGUGUAGAGGUGAAAUUCGUAGAUAUUCGGAAGAACACCAGUGGCGAAGGCGGCAUACUGGCCCAUUACUGACGCUGAGGCUCGAAAGCGUGGGGAGCAAACAGGAUUAGAUACCCUGGUAGUCCACGCUGUAAACGAUGAGUGCUAGUUGUCGGCAUGCAUGCAUGUCGGUGACGCAGCUAACGCAUUAAGCACUCCGCCUGGGGAGUACGGUCGCAAGAUUAAAACUUAAAGGAAUUAGACGG
rnacentral:rRNA from 1 species